AUAUAUAUAUAUAGUCUUAGAAACAAUAAGCAAGAUUAGUCUCGUGUUUAUUCAAUAGGUAAGAUUAAUCUCUUGUUUGAUGGUGGGUUCCCAGAAAAAGAAUGUUCUGCCGGCAUGCCGAUGGAAUGCAAUAUGUAAACUGUGCAUGGCGAAUAUGUUGGCAGCACACAUAAUUCCAUAUCGAUGAAACGAUCUGUCACUUUGUGUGCAUGUCUUGUACAAUUGAUUGCCGCAGAAGCGAAGGGCAGUUGUCGACAUGCGUCCCAGACACAGUUGUUUCCGCCACGCCGCCGUCUUCCAAUAAUGUUGCCACCUCCAAGAACAGUCCUGAUGAUGCUUCACCCCAUGAAAGGCCUCUGCUUACUAUAUGGAUGUUGUAUGGAAUCUAACAAGAAGAAAAAUCAAACUCAUCCAUAGAGAAGAUAGAAGAAGAAGAAGAAGAUAAGAACGAUAGAUUGCUACCUCGAGGAACAGUAAAAGUGGUCAGGAAUAGUGGUCAAAACUAAGAGUCUCAUAAGAAUUUUAGGGAUGAAAUGACCUAUGGUAUUGUUUUUGUUUGUGUUAACAGAAUAUUAUUUUUCUUAUUUUUCAAAAAUAAAGUAACGAGAAAUUUUCUUAAAGCAAACAUAAUAAUAAAUGCAAUAAAAAAAGGAGAGAGAGAGAGAGAGAGAGAGAGAGAGAGAGAGAGCGAUAGAGAGAGAGAGAGAUAGAGAGAGAAGAAGAAUAAGAAGAAGCACAGUUAUUAGACAUGACUCUGGUCAUAUAAUAAUGGAUAGAGAGGAGGCCAGAAACCAGAGGAGUGGUUCGCGUUUAAUCCCAUGUUUCUUCGGGGAAGGAGGGGGAGGAGUAGGAGGGUGGGCGAAGCAUGGAGACAGGGAAGGGCCAAAACAGAGGGACGUGCUGCCAUGAUGCUGAUGGUACGUAGACACAUCCUCUUAUUUGGACGCAUAUCUCGCAUCCGCGACAAGUAAUUACUCCUCCCCGCCCCCACUUCUCCUUGCUUCCGUUUUGUCCCCCCUUGCUCGUACCCCCCAGGUUGGCCCCCCCACACAACCCCCCUCCUCUUCCCUCUUCUUCUUCCUCCUCUACCCAUCCGUGCCAUCCUUUUCUUCUUAUCCUCCCGUUUUAACCAAAGUCAAUAUCUUGCAACGGCAUGUCUUUUGUUAUUCUUAUCAGUACGAGAACUUACGGCAUAUCUAUUGAGAUCGAGGCACAGAGGAUUGCUUCACAUGCCUCGGCUUUGCUCGGAACUCGGAAGAGUGGUAGCUAAACCUCCUAUUCAUCAAAAUGACAACCAGCGAUUGAGUGCAUGCAUCCAGCAAAAACCUCAGGUCUCGUCGAUCCCAAGCACAUAAAAGAGGGGAAGAUGCGUUAAACAAAUUACGCACGCUUUCCCAAGAUCUCAACUCUGUGACGUUGACAUGUCUUCCCGUUCGCCGAUGAAGUCAAAACACUGACCCCGGACGGGUGGCCUGCGACUCCGUCAGCUGAAGGAUCGGCCACCUUUCCUCUCCUCCACUCGUUAUUCCUUUCAAAGGAGGAGGCGGAGGUGAUGAUGAUGAUGAU
rnacentral:lncRNA from 1 species